UACGUAGGUGGCAAGCGUUAUCCGGAAUUAUUGGGCGUAAAGAGCGCGCAGGUGGUUAAUUAAGUCUGAUGUGAAAGCCCACGGCUUAACCGUGGAGGGUCAUUGGAAACUGGUUGACUUGAGUGCAGAAGAGGGAAGUGGAAUUCCAUGUGUAGCGGUGAAAUGCAUAGAUAUCACGCAGAACCCCGAUUGCGAAGGCAGCAUACCGGUGCACAACUGACGCUCAGGCACGAAAGCGUGGGUAUCGAACAGG
rnacentral:rRNA from 1 species